rnacentral:rRNA from 1 species
UCCAGACUCCUACGGGAGGCAGCAGUGGGGAAUAUUGCACAAUGGGGGGAACCCUGAUGCAGCGACGCCGCGUGAGUGAAGAAGUAUUUCGGUAUGUAAAGCUCUGUCAGCAGGGAAGAAGAAAGACGGUACCUGACCAAGAAGCCCCGGCUAACUACGUGCCAGCAGCCGCGGUAAUACGUAGGGGGCAAGCGUUAUCCGGAUUUACUGGGUGUAAAGGGAGCGUAGACGGCAGGGCAAGUCUGGAGUGAAAGGCCGGGGCCCAACCCCGGGACUGCUCUGGAAACUAUUGAACUUGAGUGCAGGAGAGGUAAGCGGAAUUCCUAGUGUAGCGGUGAAAUGCGUAGAUAUUAGGAGGAACACCAGUGGCGAAGGCGGCUUACUGGACUGUAACUGACGUUGAGGCUCGAAAGCGUGGGGAGCAAACAGGAUUAGAUACCCCUGUA